AGAGUUUGAUCAUGGCUCAGGAUCAACGCUGGCGGCGUGCCUAAAACAUGCAAGUCGGACGCUCCGUUUCGGCGGGGAGUGGCGGACGGCUGAGUAGCACGUGGGCGACCUGCCCAUCGGUGGGGGAUAACCGCCCGAAAGGGUGGCUAAGACCGCAUGCGGUCCCGGCGUCGGAGUCGGGAGCAAAGCCGAGAGGCGCCGGUGGAGGGGCCCGCGGCCGAUUAGCUAGCUGGCGGGGUAACGGCCCACCAGGGCGACGAUCGGUAGCCGGUCUGAGAGGAUGGCCGGCCAGACUGGGACUGAGACACGGCCCAGACUCCUGCGGGAGGCAGCAGUUAGGAAUUUUGGGCAAUGGGCGCAAGCCUGACCCAGCAACGCCGCGUGGGCGACGAGGCCCUUCGGGGUGUAAAGCCCUUUUCCGGGGGACGAGUAUGGACGGUACCCCGGGAAGAAGCCCCGGCUAACUACGUGCCAGCAGCCGCGGUAAUUC
rnacentral:rRNA from 1 species